rnacentral:tRNA from 1 species
AGGAUUAUAGUUUAUAUAAAAAAACAUUUAAUUUGCAAUUAAAAAAUACUUAUAAGUUUAUCUUA